rnacentral:rRNA from 1 species
AACGAACGCUGGCAGCAUGCCUAACACAUGCAAGUCGAACGAGACCUUCGGGUCUAGUGGCGCACGGGUGCGUAACGCGUGGGAACCUGCCCUCAGGUUCGGAAUAACUCCCCGAAAGGGGUGCUAAUACCGGAUAAUGUCUUCGGACCAAAGAUUUAUCGCCUUUGGAUGGGCCCGCGUUGGAUUAGCUAGUUGGUAGGGUAAAAGCCUACCAAGGCGACGAUCCAUAGCUGGUCUGAGAGGAUGAGCAGCCACACUGGGACUGAGACACGGCCCAGACUCCUACGGGAGGCAGCAGUGGGGAAUAUUGGACAAUGGGCGAAGGCCUGAUCCAGCAAUGCCGCGUGAGUGAUGAAGGCCUUAGGGUUGUAAAGCUCUUUUAGCCGGGAUGAUAAUGACAGUACCGGGAAAAUAAGCACCGGCUAACUCCGUG